UGGGGAAUUUUGCGCAAUGGGGGAAACCCUGACGCAGCGACGCCGCGUGAGCGAUGAAGGUUUUCGGAUCGUAACGCUCUGUCACAGGGGACGAUAGUGACGGUACCCUGGGAGGAAGCCCCGGCUAACUACGUGCCAGCAGCCGCGGUAACACGUAGGGGGCGAGCGUUGUCCGGAAUUACUGGGCGUAAAGAGCGCGUAGGUGGUUAAGUAAGUCAGGUGUGAAAGGCCAGGGCUCAACCCUGGGAUUGCACUUGAAACUGUUUAACUUGAGGGCAGGAGAGGUAAGUGGAAUUCCUGGUGUAGCGGUGAAAUGCGUAGAUAUCAGGAGGAACACCAGUGGCGAAGGCGGCUUUCUGGACAGUAACUGACGCUGAGGCGCGAAAGCGUGGGGAGCGAACAGG
rnacentral:rRNA from 2 species